GUGCAGUCAAAGUUGAGGAUCAGGUAUAUUCGUGCACAUAACACACAUGCUUCCCUAUAUCACAACUGUGCUUUGGACAGUCUGCCACAUCACGUUAAGUGCAUGUCUAUCAGGUUAUCUGUUGUUACACCCUCAAGGUUACUCCAGAAACACUGAACAUUGAACAGCAACAAAUUCCACAGACUCUGCAAAACUCAUCACAGCAAUGCCCCUUACAUACCAAAAGCUUCAUACUUAAAAGUUCCUUAGAAGUUUGUUCAAAUCACUCAGAAUAGAAGAACAAUUUGUGGUUCCCAAAGAACCUUUCAGUGAUCAGUUCUUAUAAGAACUUUUCUUAGUGUAAAGAUCGUUGUAAUAAUCUGUAGAACUUUUUUCCACUACAAGAACUUUUUAAACAACGGAAAGAUUCCAUGGAUGUUUAAGGUUCCUCACAGAACCAUUAAUGGCAUACAAAAAGCAUUAUUUUUAAGAGCGUACCUAAGCAUUUUUCACAACUUAUCAGGUGCUGUGACAACAAUGUAAAAAAAAUAAAUAAAUAAAAAAAAAUAAGUUGCAAAUAAGAAAAAAUCAAGAAAAACCAGCAGAUCCAUUAUCAUAAAAUGAAAAGUAUGAAAAGUAUCUUUGAGUGACAGUAGCUGGUGGUAUCUGUCUAAUAUGGGGGGAAAUUUAUGAUGAACCAGUUGUCUUUUCUUCAUUGUGCUGCACGAAUGUGAGUGGAGCUUGUCUUCUUCUGAAACUUCAUUCCACAUGAUUUCACCACAGGACUCACAUUCUGUUCUUUUUCAAUAAACACAACCAAUAACAUUUUUGUUUUUUUGCUACUGACAUACCAUCACCAAAACAGACCAGAGAAAUCCUCUAAGAGCGUUCCUCAGAAUAUCUGAUAUUACAUAAGCCAAAGCACUGCCAAAAUACUACUGGAAUAAAUUAGUCAUGAACAUCAAAGCUGAAGUGAUUACAGUUUUGGCACUGUGACGCGAAAUAAAUGCAGAGAUAAAUACAGAUAAGAAAAUGGACCUCAAGUUAUGAUAUAUGUUAUAUAUUGCACAUAAAAACAAGUCCAAAGUGUUGCCAAGCAACUAUUCCCCAGACUCAUGUGUUUAUACAAAACACUGCAGAAUUGAAAUGUAAGUUUUAAGUAAAAGCAUUAUAAAGCUCUUUACAGCAUAUGAAGCUUUAAACUGUAAUUAAGCUAUCAAGUUGAGUUACUAAUUAACUGAUAAGCAAAUGCACUUCUAAUGGCAUUAUUUUUCACAAAGUCCAACACGUAAGGACGGUCCUUGUAGACGUGCCACCUCUGACCUUUGAAACCCUGCGGUGUGACGUCUGCACCUGUGCUCAGAGCGUGAUGAGCAUCUGCACACACACACACACACACACACACACACACGGCUAACUGCAUCACAAUAAAACAAGAAAGAAAAAGCACAACAUGACUACCAAACGUUUUAUAGAGUUUCUACAUAAUACUUGAGCCCAAAUGCAGCAAUUGCAAUGAAAAUCAUUCUAUUGCAAUUGCUGCAUUUGGGCUCAAGUAUUAUGUAGAAACUCUAUAAAACGUUUGGUAGUCAUGUUGUGCUUUUUCUUUCAACGUAAUAGAAUAAUAACUUAAUGUUCCAGUUUAUUCAUUACUUAGUGAGUAGCAGUGUAAUAAGUGCAAUAAUUCAGAUAGCAGUAAAUGUGCGAUAACGGAUCAACAUGAAAUAGCAAUCACUCCUAUAAUAUUGCACAUUUACAUAUGAUACAGUGUAUCCAGCAAUAAAGCCAAGAUAUGUAUUAAAAAAGUCAAUAUUCAAUUUUAUUUAGACUUAAAUAAAGCCUUAAAAAUAUAAAAUAUUCUUUAAAAACACAGGUGCCAAAAAUUUUUAGGGCUG
ensembl:lncRNA